rnacentral:lncRNA from 1 species
AAUAAAGUUAAAUUUCGCACUGCUGAUAAAGUUUAGAAAAAACUUCAAAUACCAGCUAUGUGCUUUUACAUUUUUGUAAUUUAGUAUCUUGUAAUUUACAGUGUAUCAAUUUAGUACCUCAUGAUUUUUAUUUUUCUCUUUUUAUUAUCUCAUCUACUAAUUUUUUUUGUUAAAUCAGUGACAAAGUUAAAUUUAAAAGAUAGUAAAGUGAAUAUUCGAUAAAUUUAAAUGGGGUAUCUAAAGUUUUUUGUAUAUAAUUUAACAAAAUGUUAACGAAGGAGCUGACGAAAAAAUAAAAUAUAAUCACGUGAUACUAAAUUAAUACACUUUAAACCAUAAAGUACUAAAGUAAAAAAGUGUAAAACUACAGGAAUGAUAUUUGAAGUUUAUCCUAAAGUUUAUAUAUACAAAGGAGAAGAAGAAGAAGGAGGAGGAGGAGAGAAAGAGAAAAAAAAAAGAAGAAGAAAUAGUGCAAACUUUUUUUAAAUUGUGCAAUCUUGGACUAAAUAGUGUAAAGUCUAUUUGAAAAGAAUGUAAUUUCAAUAUGAAAUAGUGCAAUUUUUAUUAAAACAGUGCAGUUUUUUUUUAAACAGUGUAAUUUUUUUUAAGAGUGCAAUUUUAUCAUUUUCUUUCUUCUCCUAUAUUUUUUGAUCUUUUCUAUAGGAAAUUUUUUUUUUUUUAUUUUUUACUAUUCUUUUUUUUUUCUAUAAUUUUUUUUUGUCACCAUCUCUCCCUUACUUUCUAUCGUAACCAUCGCGACGUCGUCGGAGGCGAUCUCGCCGUCGGAGGCCGCCUCCGACGACGUAUCGGCGCUCCGAUGCACGGUGGAGGAGAAGAGCUUACGUCUCGACGUCGCCGUGCCCUAGUAGAGAAGAAGGGUGUCGGAGGCGAGGAGGGUGGGAGUGCACGGGCGACGGUGCGUGGGGUAGAGGCGAGGCUGGCUGUUUCCGCCUCCACCUCCGCUGCCUUCUUUUGAGAGAGAAAAAAAGAACAAGAGAAAAAAUAAUAAGGGUAUGAAAAUUCUGUCCGAAUCUGCAGAAUCGAAAAGAGUGGUCCACUUUUACAAAAUUCCAAAAUUAGUGGAUUUUUUAUGCAAAUUGGCCUAGAAAGUGUAAUGAGAUCUUUAAAAAAAAUAAAGUGAUUUAGAGCUUCUUUUUUUUUUUAAUAUUUCAAAAUGGUGGGAGAACCACCAGCGGAAAAGCAUCAUAGUGAAAAUCUUUAACUUUUGGAGCAUCCGUGAUUUCCAUUAAAUAUAUUUUUAUGUAUUUUUCUAAUUAGAUCGAUUUUUUGAAUAUUAUAAUGUAGAGGUAAUUUUAAAUUCCCUCAACAUUUAAUAAUCAAUUUCAUAUGUUCAAUUCCUCUUAUCUUUAAUGUGAUGAUCUAUAUUUUUUGUAAUAACCUCAAAAGUGAUCUUUUGAUUUUCCAAACUAUCUAGAAAAGAAAAAUGUGUUCUAACUAUGUAUUCCGAGACUAUAUUUUAAGUUAAAAGAGAAAAAUAUAAACUUAGGAAAGAUUACAUGUUGGGCUAUCCUAGUAUUUGACUUUUUCACCAAACACAGGAUCAUAAACCCCUUGUGACAACUAAUAAAUUGAUAGUUUUGGCCCAUGGAGUGGUGUAUACACAGAUUCCUUCGACCUUGGCCUCAUAAUUAUGAAUUAAUUAAUCAUGUAGUUUGCAACCUUGCAUUAGAACAAUGUAACACUCUUCUUAAUCAAAUCAAAUCAAAUUCAACAAGAAAUGAUAACAAUGGAUAUUGAAUCAGGGCCGGGUCAACGAGUAACACACGAUUAGCUAGUUAACAAAGAUUUUUCACUAAUAAAGACCAAUACAAAAGAGCAAUUGACUUUGGUUAAAAUACAAAAAAAGAACUCUCUAUAAAUAUCUAUUUUUCUAUUUUCAUUUUCUGACUUUUAAAAAUCUAUAUUUUUGUAUGUUGAAAAAUUUAGAAAUGUUUUAGGAGAUUACUGCAUUAAUGGAGAGAGUGAAAUGACUAAUAAAAAAAUAAAAUUCUAAUAUACUUUUAUCAUUUUUAAGAUUUUUUUUGGUAUAAAUUAUAAGUAAGAUGGAAUAGUUACAGAAUCCUUACAGAGCGGAGAUAAAUGUAUUGACUUAAAAUUUUAAAUGGAUAAAAUAUAAUUUUUGAAUAUCAAAAAAAGAAAGAAAAAAAUUGAA